AUCUAUCCUCUUCACUUUCAAACACUCUAUAUAAACCCCUUUCAAUCCAUCAAAUACACACACUAGCUUAAUCUUUCAUCCACCACCCUCACUCUCACCCACACACACCACACACAUCAAUUUUCUCUCUCUUUCACAACCUACAUCACAUUAAAUCUUCAUCUUCUUCUCAAAACCACCACCAUCACCAUCACCCCCACUACCUCUCUCUCAUCAAUUUUUUUUCUCUUUCACAACUAACAUCACCUUAAAUCUUCAUAUUCUUCCCCAAAACACCACCACCACCACCACCACUACUUAUCUCUUUUUUUCCUCUAUCUCUCACAAAUAACAUUGAAAAAAACAUUGCAAAUUUUUACACAAAAAAUUUACAAAAAAAAAAAAAAGGAGGAUUCAAUCACUUUGUUUAAGGACUUGCUCAAGCAAUCCAUCUAUUUAAGGUGCAUCAAGUUAGAGCAAAAAUCAUGCAAGUAUGCAACUAUAAAGAAAAGUAGAGGAUUCAAGCACUUUGUUAAAGAGAUUGAUUUUGAAGAAAAUGAGAUUAAAAUACUUAUGAAUGUUGUUUAUUUUGUUUAAACUUGAGAGCACUAUCAAGAAAUGAUGAACAUGUAACAAUAUAUGUUUUUUCUAAGCAUGAUUUAGUG
rnacentral:lncRNA from 1 species